rnacentral:rRNA from 1 species
GUUGUAUGGUUAAGUGACUAAGCGUAGACGGUGGAUGCCUAGGCAGUUGGAGGCGAUGAAGGACGUAUUAACUUGCGAUAAGCCAUGAUGAGGCAGUAAAAGCCGUUCUAGUCAUGGAUUUCCGAAUGGGGAAACCCACUGAGCUUGCUCAGUAUCCUUAGGUGAAUACAUAGCCUAAGGAAGCGAACCCGGAGAACUGAAACAUCUAAGUACCCGGAGGAAAAGAAAUCAACCGAGAUUUCCCUAGUAGCGGCGAGCGAACGGGAAUUAGCCCUUAAGCAAUCAUGGUUUUAGUGGAACAAGCUGGAAAGCUUGACGAUACAGGGUGAUAGUCCCGUACACGACAGGGCCAUGAAUGUGAAAACGAGUAGGUCGGGACACGUGUUAUCUUGACUGAAUAUGGGGGGACCAUCCUCCAAGGCUAAAUACUCCCAACUGACCGAUAGUGAACCAGUACCGUGAGGGAAAGGCGAAAAGAACCCCGGCGAGGGGAGUGAAAUAGAACCUGAAACCGUCUACGUACAAGCAGUAGGAGCACCUUCGUGGUGUGACUGCGUACCUUUUGUAUAAUGGGUCAGCGACUUAUAUUUUGUAGCAAGGUUAACCGCAUAGGGGAGCCGUAGGGAAACCGAGUCUUAACUGGGCGUCAUAGUUGCAAGGUAUAGACCCGAAACCGGGCGAUCUAUCCAUGAGCAGGUUGAAGAUUGAGUAACAUCAAUUGGAGGACCGAACCCACAUCUGUUGAAAAAGAUGGGGAUGACUUGUGGAUCGGAGUGAAAGGCUAAUCAAGCCCGGAGAUAGCUGGUUCUCCCCGAAAUCUAUUUAGGUAGAGCCUCGGACGAAUACCACUGGGGGUAGAGCACUGUUUGGGCUAGGGGGUCAUCCCGACUUACCAACCCCAUGCAAACUCCGAAUACCAGUGAGUACUAUCCGGGAGACACACGGCGGGUGCUAACGUCCGUCGUGAAGAGGGAAACAACCCAGACCGCCAGCUAAGGUCCCAAAGUCAUGGCUAAGUGGGAAACGAUGUGGGAAGGCUCAGACAGCUAGGAGGUUGGCUUAGAAGCAGCCACCCUUUAAAGAAAGCGUAAUAGCUCACUAGUCGAGUCGGCCUGCGCGGAAGAUGUAACGGGGCUAAGCCAUGCACCGAAGCUGCGGCAGCGUACUAUGUAUGCUGGGUAGGGGAGCGUUCUGUAAGCCGUUGAAGGUGUGUUGAGAAGCAUGCUGGAGGUAUCAGAAGUGCGAAUGCUGACAUGAGUAACGAUAAUGGGGGUGAAAAACCCCCACGCCGGAAGACCAAGGUUUCCUAUCCCAUGCUAAUCAGGGUAGGGUAAGUCGGCCCCUAAGGCGAGGCCGAAAGGCGUAGUCGAUGGGAAUCAGGUUAAUAUUCCUGAACCGACAUGUACUGCGAUGGGGGGACGGAGAAGGCUAGGCAAGCCGGGUGUUGGUAAUCCCGGUGAAAGUAUGUAGGUUAAUGGUUUAGGCAAAUCCGGACCAUUCUCUUUGGNNNNNNNNNNNNNNNNNNNNNNNNNNNNNNNNNNNNNNNNNNNNNNNNNNNNNNNNNNNNNNNNNNNNNNNNNNNNNNNNNNNNNNNNNNNNNNNUACGGGUGCGAAGUUGUUGAUGCCAUGCUUCCAGGAAAAGCCUCUAAGCUUCAGGUACAUGUUGACCGUACCCGAAACCGACACAGGUGGUCAGGUAGAGAAUACUAAGGCGCUUGAGAGAACUCGGGUGAAGGAACUAGGCAAAAUAGUACCGUAACUUCGGGAGAAGGUACGCCAGAGCUAGUGAACCCCUUGCGGGGGGAGCUGGAGCUGGCCGCAGUGACCAGGUGGCUGGGACUGUUUAUUAAAAACACAGCACUCUGCAAAAUCGAAAGAUGACGUAUAGGGUGUGACACCUGCCCGGUGCCGGAAGGUUAAUUGAUGGGGUUAGCGUAAGCGAAGCUCUUGAUCGAAGCCCCGGUAAACGGCGGCCGUAACUAUAACGGUCCUAAGGUAGCGAAAUUCCUUGUCGGGUAAGUUCCGACCUGCACGAAUGGUGUAACCAUGGCCACGCUGUCUCCACCCGAGACUCAGUGAAAUUGAAAUCGCCGUGAAGAUGCGGUGUACCCGCGGCUAGACGGAAAGACCCCGUGAACCUUUACUACAGCUUGGCACUGAACAUUGAACCUCCAUGUGUAGGAUAGGUGGGAGGCUAUGAAGCGUUGGCGCUAGUUGACGUGGAGCCAUCCUUGAAAUACCACCCUUGUAUGUUUGAUGUUCUAACUUAGGUCCGUUAUCCGGAUCGAGGACAGUGCCUGGUGGGUAGUUUGACUGGGGCGGUCUCCUCCCAAAGAGUAACGGAGGAGCACGAAGGUUGGCUAAGUACGGUCGGACAUCGUACGGUUAGUGUAAUGGCACAAGCCAGCUUAACUGCGAGACAGACACGUCGAGCAGGUGCGAAAGCAGGUCAUAGUGAUCCGGUGGUUCUGAAUGGAAGGGCCAUCGCUCAACGGAUAAAAGGUACUCCGGGGAUAACAGGCUGAUACCGCCCAAGAGUUCAUAUCGACGGCGGUGUUUGGCACCUCGAUGUCGGCUCAUCACAUCCUGGGGCUGUAGUCGGUCCCAAGGGUAUGGCUGUUCGCCAUUUAAAGUGGUACGCGAGCUGGGUUUAGAACGUCGUGAGACAGUUCGGUCCCUAUCUGCCGUGGGCGUUUGAGAGUUGAGAGGGGUUGCUCCUAGUACGAGAGGACCGGAGUGAACGAACCGCUGGUGUUCGGGUUGUCAUGCCAAUGGCACUGCCCGGUAGCUACGUUCGGAAUCGAUAACCGCUGAAAGCAUCUAAGCGGGAAGCGAGCCUCAAGAUAAGCUCUCACUGACAUGUAAUUGUCCUAAAGGGCUGUUGGAGACUACAACGUUGAUAGGCGGGGUGUGGAAGCGUAGUAAUGCGUUGAGCUAACCCGUACUAAUUGCCCGUGAGGCUUAACCAUACAACACCGAAGGUGUUU